CUCCGGCGUGAGGGACGAGAGUAGGGAGGCUGUGGAGGUGCCUCGCUCUCACUACUCCCGGGAGAGAUUCACCCAAUUUCACUGUGUCGCCUCCUAGCGUGUUUUAUUAAGAGAUAAAGUGUCUGGAGGGGAGUUUUACGCCCAGUGUGAGCUCUAUGAACUCUGUAAGCCCAGGCUGGCUCUGGCCUACCACGGGCUGAAGCUGCUGCUGACCACCACUAAAUCGGGAGGCAGCAUAAUAAGCACCAGACCAGCAUGGACUCGUCUCGUGAUGCUUAGACACAGACAAUUAGUGACUUGCGGAAACAGACAAGGGUGCUGGGAAAGGUCGCUGCCGCCACAGAGAAGCUCAGGUGGCCGCACAGACCCCGACCCGCCCCGGCACCUCCCUAGCGUUGUGUGAAGUGUGCGAUGAGAUUAAUAACUAAACAUAAUAGCUAAACGCGUUGAAAAGGAAAAAAAAAACGUAAAGAAAGUCAAACAGUUACUCUCUUUCAUUAGUGAACUUAUUUCAUUAAGUUGUGGACGUGUUGCUUGACGCGUGACGUGACGUGACGUUACGUGACGGGAACAGUAACGUGCGACAAAUUACAGCCAACAAACAGGACCACGUCGAGGACUUCGACUCUCCCUUCUUGCUCACUUCGCUUCCAAAUAAAGAUAGUUUCCGAUGAGGAUCAAUACGCCAUCCACGCCGGCGGCCGCCACGCGCCUCCACACGCGAAGACACCACCACCACCACCGCCACCCCGCUGCCCACGGGGAGGGGGACGCACGCCGACACCACCACCACCACCACCACCACCAUCACAGCAACAACAAUCAUAACCACAACUAUCACCACCAUCAUCAUCACCAUCAUCACAAUCACUACCACCAAGAAGAGUUCCAUAAACCCUCCCCCUCCCCCACCCCCACCAGCUCAUGCUCCGCUCACACCCAUCAGCUGCUGCACCAGUCCCAGCACCACCACCACCACCAUCACCAUCAUCACCACCACCAACACCACCAACAACAGCAGCAGCACCUACAGCAGGACCAAUGGCAGGAAGCACAGGAGCCCGUCACCCCGCCCCCGCACCUCAUCCAUCACCCCAAUCAGUACCUGAGGAGACUGGGACCACAAGAUCCAAGGGAGAGAUUAAAAGAGGCAGCGUGUCCAUGGGGGGAACUGAGCCCACACCUUAAGCAGCAGCAGCACCACCGGAAGCAGCAGGAGCAAAGACACCUACAGCUCCACUCUCGUCUUCUGAAGCAGUUUCGCCCACUGCGGCUACUGUUGCUGGUGGCGGCGCUACUACAGGCAGGCGCUUUGGGUUGUCGCAUCUCAGAGUUCACAUGCGGCAACUUCGAGUGUGUUCCUGCUGAUGCUUACUGUGACGGCCAGCCAGACUGCUCGGACAGGACGGACGAGCCACGGGACUGCUCACCGUGUAAUCGAACUUUCUACGGGGACGUCGGGAGGAGCUACGAAGUGCAGGUACAGCGUCCGGUCAACAUGCUCACUACCUUCACCUGCCACCUCACCUUCGUGGCCGAGGGGAACCAGUACGGCGACAUUGUGCAGCUCAUUAUUCAAGACUUCAAGCUCGGGGACUUCUUCAGCUACAACAGUGGGUGUCCUCAGGGGUGGAUGCAGAUCAGCGAGCGAGACAGACCUUACACGGACGGCUACUGGUGCGGCAACGGGCAGGGCUUCAACGUGUAUUACAGUGAAACUUCAACCACCACACUCACACUCAAGAAAUUCAUCACUAUGGACUAUGUGCACUUUGAGGGCUUCCAUCAGUCACCCUUCAGCUUCCGUCUCACCUACAAGACAAUGAGGCGAAGUGAUGCGGUUCUGCGCUACGGAAACGCCACCACGCCCAAGGACCGCGGUCAGCUGCUGGAUGACUCGGUGUGCACGCGGCUCUUCCUCAACUGUGACGAACACUUGUGUUCCGUGCAGAGCCCAAAUUUUCCCGGCCUAUACCCCCGCCACGUCACCUGCAACUAUCUGAUACGUCAGACCCGCUACGUGCCGUACGCCCGCUCUCUCAUCACCAUCUAUCAAGACAACCCGCUCAGGUUCAACGUGAAGGCCACCUCCACCUUGCCUAACCAAGAGCCUUCUUCCCCUGGCUUGCAGAUCUGGGAUUCCUGUGAUCUGGUGCACGAUCACCUGCUGGUGUACGACGGCAACACCACGGAUUCACCGUUGUUCCUCAAGGUGUGUGGCUCAGGCCGUCUACCACCCAUCACCUCUACAGGGUCGGAAAUGCUCAUCAUAUUCAGCACCUCGCGCUUCGACGAGCCCACGCAAGAGACGCUCAUGCCUCGGACCUUUGGCUUCGAGCUCAACGUUGGAGUCACUUACCUCAACAUGGACUCCCCAAGGUUUGCCCGUAAUCACCAGUGUGUGUUCCACAUCUUCAGCGCCAACAAUUCCAGCGGAGAGGUGGAGUCUGUGGUGAACACGCAGCCACAGAAUUCGUCGUGCGUGUACUUAUUCCACGGCGAGGCGCACGAGGUGGUGUGGGUCCACUUCCGCAAGUACGAGAUAGCACCCAAGAUGGGCCAUUACUCCUACAACAUGACAGAGUGCAUCAAUCCACUUAGAAUAUACGACGGUAACUUCUUUGACACCACCACUCCGUAUGGCUCCCCGCAGCGCGCCAAACUUAUCCAAGAACACUGCACCAAGCGACCCCCGCCCAUGUGUGCCAGGGAGUAUCUACCCCCGAGGGCGGGUCACAUCGCCCCAGUGAAGGCAUGCACCAGGAACGAGAGUUACGUGGCAGAAGGGUCUAAACUGACUGUGGUGCAACAUUAUAACGAAUCCACUGCCGCCCUGGCCAUGGAUUUUGUCCUUCGAUACGAGUUCGUCAACACUCGGCCGGGUUACCGACCCACCAAUGGUAGUGAGUGUGACUUCGAAGCGAUCAGUGACGGUUACACCCUCCGUACAGGACGCGUCUUCUCUCCGAGGACCUCGGUGUUGUAUGGACGCUGGGGACGCCGGCGACUGUCUUGCCAAUAUCGUCUUACUGCACACGGAGACGAAGUGGUGCGGGUUACCAUUACUAAGUUCCACAGUGCUUCCCGUUCCUGUGUCACCACAACCAAUAACUUCACCGGAAGUUAUGACUGUGACAACCAUGCAGGCCAGAUGGCUUCCCUGGUUGUGUCUGAGUAUCCCUGGCAGGACAUUGAGGUGCCGCGCCUUUGUCUGUGCGACUAUUCCCUCAUCCCCAUCGAAUACGAGUCAAAAUCUAAGGAACUAAGGCUCAAGUUCGAGGUCAAUAAUAUGGAUGAAACUCAUGACUACUUUGACUUCAUGUUCGAAGCUCAGUAUGAGUUUGUGAAGAAAUCUUCAUGCAAGAAAGAACAACGACUUCAGGGAACCAACGGCGAGAUAGUGUUUCGAAAAGCCAACCUUACCGAGAACAAGCCCUGUGACAACUAUCCUUGGCUCCUGCAGACCUCUGAUGCCAACAAGUCUAUCUAUUUCAGAAUAAGAGGCUACGACCACAUUGACAAGAACUGCACUACAUCCACCCGCCUGCUUGUGUUCAAGGUCGGUCGUCUGAGGCCAGUCGGUGUCCUGUGUCCUGACCCGACAAGCGAGAAGGUCGUGGAGCUAUUCAGCUUUGCCUGGCAGGGAUCAGGGACACUGGUGGAACAGUCGACUGAUAAACUGGUACUGGAGGUUUCAGGACGGGAGGGCACACGAGAUCUGGGUCCCCACACACUCACCUGGCUGCAAGUGUCCCCGGCGCGACAGUAUGACUGGUCCUCUGAGGGUAUCGUGCGUGGCUGCCAGGAGGAGUGCCCCGAGCUGGGUGUGUGCAUCAGCGAGGACUUGUGGUGUGACGGAGUGCACCACUGUCCCUCAGGCCAUGACGAGCUCAUCGCUCACUGCUUCUUCCUCUCGGUGCCCUGGGCCUACAUCGGGAUAGGCUCCACUCUUAGCGUUAUUCUACUGGUGGUGGUGACAGUGUAUGGCGCGGCACGCCUGCGUGCCUCUGACAAGAAGACCCACCAGCACCAGCCCAUCCCUACCUUGCCCACCGCCUCAGAGUCUCUCUUCUCUUCUGACAAAGACGCGGCGGAACGUGACGGCGGCGUGACGUCCGCUUACAGCCUCGAUUACAGCGAGGUGGAUUACGUCACGACUUUAUGAGAACCACAGAGAUUAGCCACUUUCAACAAUACUUGCACAUUAGCUCGAGGCAAUCGCCAAUCCACCAGCACCACCCCUGCGCAGGAUGCACGCCAAUCUAGCUCCCGAAGAACGACAAGCCUCCCGCGCCCGCGACGGUCUAGGACCCGCCACACUCGGUCGGCCAGUGUUCACAACGACUACGACGACCGCUCCAUCUCGCUGCAGCUGUACGUCCCUCCCCCACCGGCGCCCUUCAGCAGGUCGCACCACUACACGCUGGCCGCCCUCAACACCCACCCACUGGCCGCCCUCAACACCCCAACUGGCCACCCGCGUCGGGCACAAUAGCAACGACCACAAAACAGUCCCCUGACGCCUCGCCACCGCGGGGAGACUGAUGACCGGACCGCUGGUGAUUGAGCAGGCACCAGUGUUUACUCUCCCCUCCCACCACCCUGAGGUCACCGAAGCUACUGGUGACCAGGGCAUGGGCGUGCGGGUGACACUGCCGCCCCAAGCACCAAGGUGUCGAAGCUACACCGGGUCCUUCCCUUAGCUGCGUGUUUGAUGUAAAUGUGUAAAUCGCUUUUCAACACCCUGGCACGCGGCUUUCUCCGUUCACCUUUCUUGCAAAUGUUUCUAUACAAUUUUAUUCGAUAAUUUUCUAAAACUUGUUAGAAAUAUGAGCCUAUAGCCGACACUCCACCUUAGCCGCUUUCUGUGUUACGAGACCAACAGUCGGUGUCCACGGAGCCGCGUGUUGAUUUCCUUGUCUGGACGUAGACGUAGUUGUGUCUGUUUUGUUGGGUUACUAGUCGUAGCCUCUGUCACUCACUCCGUUACUCAAAGCUGUGAAAAAUCUAAUCUAAAAAUCUUUCAAUCACACCAUAGAUGAAGAACAAACAGAAAAGAUCAUUAAUUCUCUAAUGUAUCAGGAUUAUAUAAGACCAAUAAAGUAAUAUGUACGCAAAUCCUUCCCGUCUAACCUUCCCCAUCCUCCUCUUUAACCCAUCCCUUCCCCUACACCUUCGUCACCCUUCCUCCUCGUCCUCCACCUCCUCCUAGUCCUCGUCCUCGUCACAGCCCAUCGACAAGACAAAUCAUGCACCCUCUAAGUUGUAGGUGAAAUAGUGAUGUAGCGACGGUGAUAGACGUGUGAGAAAUAUAAGAAAGAGAGAGAGAAAGAGAGAGAGAGAGAGAGAGAGAGAGAGAGAGAGAGAGAGAGAGAGAGAGAGAGAGAGAGAGAGAGAGAGAGAGAGAGAGAGAGAGAGAGAGAGAGA
rnacentral:misc_RNA from 1 species